UGAGCGGUAGAUCAACAGGUAGAUCGCCUGGCUGUUAACCAGGAGGGUGCAAGUUCGAACCCUGCCCGCUCAGCGA
rnacentral:tRNA from 1 species